GACGAACGCUGGCGGCGUGCUUAACACAUGCAAGUCGAACGGAAAGGCCCUGCUUGCAGGGUACUCGAGUGGCGAACGGGUGAGUAACACGUGGGUGAUCUGCCCUGCACUUCGGGAUAAGCUUGGGAAACUGGGUCUAACACCGGAUAGGAACCAUCUUUAGUGUGGUGGUUGGAAAGUUUUUUCGGUGUAGGAUGAGCUCGCGGCCUAUCAGCUUGUUGGUGGGGUAAUGGCCUACCAAGGCGGCGACGGGUAGCCGGCCUGAGAGGGUGUACGGCCACAUUGGGACUGAGAUACGGCCCAGACUCCUACGGGAGGCAGCAGUGGGGAAUAUUGCACAAUGGGCGCAAGCCUGAUGCAGCGACGCCGCGUGGGGGAUGAAGGCCUUCGGGUUGUAAACUCCUUUCGCUAGGGACGAAGCUUUUUGUGACGGUACCUAGAUAAGAAGCACCGGCUAACUACGUG
rnacentral:rRNA from 1 species